rnacentral:lncRNA from 1 species
ACACACACCCGGCGGCUCCCCCCACCACACGGUGACUCCCCCUCACACAGCAGCUCCCCCCACACACGGCCCUCCCCCCACACACACACCCGGCGGCUCCCCCCACCACACGGUGACUCCCCCUCACACAGCAGCUCCCCCCACACACGGCCCUCCCCCCACACACACACCCGGCGGCUCCCCCACACAGAGCUGGGAGGCUCCAGUACUCUCGGAGCUUGGCUGGGGCUCCUGGGGAGGGCCGUGGCUCCUCCUCACCCGCUGGGGAGCCAGGAGUUCCGUGAGUGGUUGAAGCCCUGCUGGGAGGGUUGGGCGUUUCCAGCCAUUCUCACACGGCUUCUCAGCCGGGGUCUCCCACCCCGGCCCUGGCCCUGGGCCUGCCCUCACUGCCUCCUCCCCAUCCCCUACCCCUAGAGGCCUCCUGCCCUGGUCACCUACGCGUCACCUAAGCCCCGAGGCCAGGCGGCUUCUUGUCUACUAAAGACUUCCGGAGAGAGGCAUUCACCCUGUGGUCAGAGCUGGGGUUUCCAUGGAGGAGCACCACAGCCAUAAAGAAAGUUAUGGAGGCUGUGAAGUGCAAGGUCAAGAGGCUGCAUCUGGUGAAGACCUUCUUGCUGGUAGGGUCUCUCUACCUGGUCCUGAGGCAGUCCAGGGCAUCACAUGGCUGGUGAGCCCCAGAGCGGAGGACCCUGCCGAGCUGUUUCCAGACUCCUGAUCCACAGAAACCGUGAGAGGAUAACAUUGUUCUGCUUGAAGCCACUACACCUGCCGUCACUUGUCUCGCAUCAUUAGGGAACCAACGUGCUCUGGAAGACAGCAACUCUCAGGGUCCAUUCCGCUGACACCAGCGCCUCAGAUGACACAGGACGUGGCAUGGUGGCUAUUGACUCAUCAAGGGAACAGCAAUGGCCACUCUGCACCUUGCAUUCCUAUCCUUUUUUGGGCUUCAGAUCAGAAAUCGCAACUUUUGCGUGGAGAUCCUGGGCCUCCACACUGCUGGCCUCCCAUCGUCCCAAGAAUGACUCCCUGGAAAGAGCCUGUUCAGACCCUUUGUGACUGGACUCUACUGUAAGAGGAGAAUCAAAUGCUUGCAAGAAAACUGUAAAGCAGAGUUUCCUAAAAUACAUUUCAUAAGCGUGAGUGCCAGGAGUGCCUUAAAAAUGUGACUCUAUUGUCAAAUAAGUUGGGCAAUUUACUGAAGUAUACAUGAAUAUGUUAAAACCUCCAAGGAGUCCUGAAUUUAAAACAAACCUACACACAAAAACAAAGAACAGGGUGCCUGCUCGCUCAUCACACAGGUUGGAUAAGAUCGACAGGAAAAACCCCUCCAACAGCACAGCAGAGCAGCACAGAGCCCUGCCUCUCUCCAGCUGGGGAAGUCGGGAGCUGAAGUGGAAAGCUGGUUGAAGAACAAUGUGAAAAAAAUGAGGCCUGACUCAAUUCCUAAAAGCGGCUGCCUGACCUUAUGCAAGCCACAGCUUCUAUUUACAAACCCAGGAAACUGGACAAAAUACUGAAAGGAUCCCCUAAGAUAAUGAGAGUUAACAACAGAUGCAAAGCAAGGUUCUGUGGAAAUGUAAGGUCGUGUUACCACGCAGGGCUGAAAAGCUUUCCUGACUACUUUCUGAUUUGCGUAUACUAAGGACUAUUUCAAGAGGGUGACAUUUUAUGAAUUAAAGGCAUGCCACUUCCAUUCACAGUGCUGUUCUGAGAGAUUCGAUUCUGUCCUUGACAAUCUAAGAAAAUCUUAACUCUGCAUUAUGUAAAUACUAAGGACACGGGGUGUUUCGAAUGAGACCAACCUCGUAUCUCUCUCAACUCCCUCUCCUCCCGGGGCCACCCUUUUCUUUAAUUGAAAGCACAAUAAACUUAAUCAGCUGCUCCUAACGAUGCCUGCCCCAGCCUGGGAGAUUCAGCAAGGCUUGGGGCGUGCAUGACAAAGAAACACACACUCCAGAAUCUCACUUUUGUUAUUCCCCAGCCAUCUUUUGUUAUGUGGCAUGGGAAAAAUCUUAAUGAGCCUGCCCUGCUGCUGCAGAAAUUCUUGUCAGAUGAAAAGCAGCCCCUCCUUCCACCUGGCAAGGGCUUACAGAGAACACAGCAGCCCACAUCUACUCACGUUUCCUGAAACAAUCCCCUAUUUAACUUCCUAGGCAACAGAAAAUCUGAAGAAAAUGAGAUACCACAGAAGAUGAAUUUGAUGUAACAAAAAGGUGUUUUAAAAAGAUAAGUAGAGAGGCCAUCCUACAAAAUUUCAUGGCUGACAAUGGUAAAAAAGAUGCAGAAAAGGACCAUCUGGCCUGAAAAAUUCAGCCGGGGUCGGGGGAGGGGGUCCCGCAGCAGAGGCCAGGCCUUCAAGGAUGGGGAUCCUCUUCUGUCUUCCUUUUCUCAAAAUGUUUGUUGGAUGAUGGACUUAAUUUUAAAACCCCAAGUCACUGCGGUUUAGCCAGCUAUGGAUGAUGAAAGCACUACAAUCAUUGAAACUGACAAGGAGGCAGUUUCCUUCAAAAAUACGAAAACUGUACGCAGAGUACAUGGAGAAAAAUGUGACACAAGCAUUUGGACACACUACUAAACAACAACAUGGGACAAUAUAGACAACAAUUGGAAAUACACUUUGAGGAGGUAAAAAGUUCAGUAUUCACUGGCUUCCUUUUGGAGGUUGUUAAAUUGCUGAAAUUCAAAUAAAAGUCAUUGAGCCAUUGUGUCUGUCAGCUGUGCCUCUAUCUCACCCCCGGGUGGGUGGAGGUCCCCCUGGCUUUAUUCUCUGUGUUGUUGCUGCAGAUCCAGAUUCAGGAUUCCGCCCUGAAGGUCUGCGUUCCCUCCCGAGACAGCCUCUGUUUCAAAAUGCACAGCCAUUCUUGACAGACAAGAAAGGGAUGUUGAAAAACAAGUCAUGCUUUGGAUUCGUGUGGCUUUGAGAUACAGAACGAAUGAAUUAUUUCCUGCCUGGCCCAGAACACUUUGCCUCGGUACAGGAGUGUCAAGGCAGAGUGGGUGGGGAAGAUGAAGGGUGAGGGAAGCAAUUGCAAUUAAAAUCCAUAAGGAGCCGGAGAAGGUGGUGCUCAUAGAUGGAUCCCCUAACUGAGUUUAGAGGGCACAGGAGGAGGCGAAGGGAAGCAGUCUUUCAUAUAUGUGACUUAGGAAAUAUAUAAGGAUUGUGUAUUUUACGGCACUUAUGAGAUGGGAUAAUUCCUUGACUCUUUCAUGGGUAGGAACUGGAGUGCACCUCUGGGUCCAGUUGGCCACUUCAGCACUAGCAGGGACGAACUUCAAUCACUUGAACCUGCUGGACUCAACCCCUCAUGGGAGGGAGCACAUAGGCGAGUGGGUGCUGGGACCCUGGCAAGGGC